AACCCCCCCCCAAUCUGCAUCUUCUAGCCAUGUAAUGGGAAGUCGGGGUCCCCGUGCCUGACCCUGCUGGGCCCAUCUGGAGGCAAUUCUCUUUCCACAUCUGAAAAAAACAAAAUGAACACAUGCCUUCUGCUGCUAUCAGAUAUUUAAAAAGUCUCUCCCCCCCCAAUUUUUCUUUUCUCUUUAAAUCUCUCACAGAGAUGGGGAGGGGAAAAUGUCUCUUUAAGAUUGUCAGCCCCAAAGAAUGAGGAAAAGGGGCUUGCAGCUGUUAUUACUGUGGUUUUCAGUGGGAACAGGGAAAAGACUGAGGAGAGGGAGUAAAACUGCAAUUGAGAGAGAGAGAAAGAGAGAGAGAGAGAGAGAGAGAGAGAUAGAAGGCUUCCCCAGAAGCUGGCUGGGGAGAGGGAGUAAGAGAGAGAGAGAGAGAGUGAAGGCUUCCCCAGAAGCUGGCUGGACAACUUGCACUUUCCAAGAGGGGUUUAUCCUGCACCAGAUCUCUCUCCCUGACCUGACCUGGUGGUCAAAAGCCUUGACAGUGGGACCGGCUUCUGAGGAAUAUAUAUAUAUAUGGUCAUUGUGGGGGUAUUACAGGACUGGCUGGAGCGGAUUGUGCCUGGAGUCACAGAAGAGAAACAAUUGGGUGAAAUUCACAAGAAAGGCUCAGCUGCAAUUUGGAAGAUUAUUCAGAAUUCUUCUCUCCUCCCCCCCCCGAGUUCUCAACCCUCAACCAGAAAAAGGGAUGAGACCAUUCUCUGUGACUCAGGAUUCCCACAAACCCUCAUAUCAUCCUCUGUAUGGCAGAAACAGUUGUUCCUGUGGGCAUCGGCUGGAAGACAUCAUGAUGGCCUGCCCUGGAUUCCAGAGACACUUUCAAGCCUGGGAAAAUACCCAGGUUGGCACCAGCUGCUUGCACCUUGGCCGAAGUGGUGCCAGCAACAGACUGCCCGGAGUAGACCUGUUCUAG
rnacentral:lncRNA from 1 species